AUGAGGGGCAUAAGGUCUGUUUCUGGAUUAAGUUUUUGCGUGUGGACAUCCAGUUGUUUCAGCACCAGAAUCUCCUGGACUUUUCAUUCAGUUGUUGUGCUUUUCAACUCCAGAUGUUCCAUUUGGUCCUCCUCCUCCCCCUCCUCCCCUCCUCCCCUCCUCCUCUUCCCCUCCUCCUCCUCCCCCUCCUCCCCCUCCUCCCCCUCCUCCCCCCUCCCCCUCCUCCUCCUCCCCUCCUCCCCCUCCUCCCCCUCCUCCUCCUCCUCCUCCUCCCCUCCUCCCCCUCCUUCUCCUCUUCCUCUCCUCCUCCCCCCUCCCCCUCCUUCCCCUCCUCCUCUUCCCCCUCCCCUCCACCCCCAUCCCCCUCCUCCUCCUCCUCCUCCUCCUCCUCCUCCCUCCUCCUUCUCCUCUUCCUCUCCUCCUCCUCCUCCCCUCCUCCUCUUCCCCCUCCCCUCCACCCCCAUCCCCCUCCCUCUCCUCCUCCUCCUCCCCCUCCUCCCCUCCUCCUCUUCCCCUCCUCCUCCCCCUCCUCCCCCUCCUCCUCUUCCCCCUCCCCUCCACCCCCAUCCCCCUCCCUCUCCUCCUCCCCCUCCCCCUCCUCCCUCCUCCUCCUCCUCCCUCCUCCUUCUCCUCUUCCCCUCCUCCUUCUCCUCUUCCCCUCCUCCCCCUCCCCCUCCUCCCCUCCUCCUCCUCCUCCCCCCUCCCCCCUCCCCCCCCCCCUCCCCCUCCUCCCCCCUCCUCCUCCCCCCUCCUUCUCCUCUUCCCCUCCUCCUCCCCCUCCUCCCUCCUCCUUCUCCUCUUCCCCUCCUCCUCCUCCCCCCUCCCCCUCCUCCCCUUCCUCCUCUUCCCCCUCCCCUCCACCCCCAUCCCCCUCCCUCUCCUCCUCCUCCUCCCCCUCCUUCUCCCCCUCCUCCCCCCUCCCCCUCCCCUCCUCCUUCUUCUCUGUCUUCCAAUUCUUUACUACAAAAAAAACUAUUGUUUUCAGUCUGUCUUGGAAGUUUUGGAGUCAAAGCAUCUUCUCUUUUUGAAGAAGCGAAACGUUUUGCAGACAGAAUGGAAAGUGAUGGGAAUCCACAGAGGAAAUGGGAGGGGAUCCUUUCCUUUGUGGAUCAGAUUGCAUCUGGAAACAUCAGUGGCUCGGAUGAAGGAAGACAUGGCAAAGUCCUCCUUAGAACGGCAGAGCGAGACAGGCUCUUGCACCGUCAGAACGGGUGCGUCUCGUUCUGUGAUCGGAGCAUCAACCAAACGGUUACCGGGCAGAAGACCCGCUCCAAUCUCGUGUUUGGCCUCUUGGCGCUUGAAAAGCAGUCCUUGAGAGACGAGUGGGAAAGGGAAGGUUGCUUUAUUCAGGAAGCGGGCAACCUGGGAACGUGGCAGACCCACGCCCAAAGACCGUCUCCAACCGUCCAGGUGAAGCUCGGGAAGGUGUGGCCAACGGUGAGGCGCCUGCACGCGGGAGAAGCUGGUGCUCGGCACUCAGUCGUUUGUCGACGCGACUCCGAAAAGACUUGCUGGUGGCAGCGGUGGCUGUUUUCGGAAAUGGUCAAGACGCAUCUUCUGGGAAAGUCUGGUCCUUCGUUCCUCACGGCCGGAGGUCUGCAAAACCCCGGGCGAAGUGGGUCAGUUCUGCUACGGACUGUGGGGCUUCGGCCGGCAAAGCAAGGAGCGCCCAGCUGGGGGCCAGCUGGCCUGCCUUGGAAGCUGUCACAGAUCCAACGGGCGACGCUGGAGCGGAGCGCGCGACACCUCUCGCCCCAGACGACCUCCCGCGAAGCCUGA
ensembl:lncRNA